ensembl:misc_RNA Metazoa_SRP Metazoan signal recognition particle RNA
GCCGGGCGCCGUGGCUGGUGCCUGUGAUCCCAGCGGCGCGGGAGGCUGAGGCCGGCGGAUCGCUUGAGCUCAGGAGUUCUGGGCUGCAGCGGGCUGUGCCCAGCGGGUGUCCGCACUAAGUUCGGCAUCGAUAUGGGGAUCCCGGGGAAGCUCGGGGUCCCCAGGUUGCCUAAGGAGGAGUGAACCGGCCCAGGUCGGAAACGGAGCAGGUCAAAACUCCCGUGCCGAUCAGUAGUGGGAUCGCGCUUGUGAAUGGCCCCUGCAGCGUAGCCUGGGCGAGAGAGUGAGACCCGGUCUCUU